rnacentral:rRNA from 1 species
CAGUAGCCACGGUAAAACGCAGGGUGCAAGCGUUAAUCGGAAUUACUGGGCGUAAAGCGUGCGCAGGCGGUUCUAUAAGACAGAUGUGAAAUCCCCGGGCUCAACCUGGGAACUGCAUUUGUGACUGUAGAGCUGGAGUGCGGCAGAGGGGGAUGGAAUUCCGCGUGUAGCAGUGAAAUGCGUAGAUAUGCGGAGGAACACCGAUGGCGAAGGCAAUCCCCUGGGCCUGCACUGACGCUCAUGCACGAAAGCGUGGGGAGCGAACAGGAUUAGAUACCCCGGUAGUCCCUGUCUCUUAUAC